rnacentral:snRNA from 1 species
CUGAAGGCCAUCUGCCUGUGACAUCUGUCCCCCGCUGAUUGCCAGACUUGAGUGGCUGAUCUGGCUGGCUGGGAAGCUGUCCCUUCCUCCCUCAUCGAUGUGCUUCCUGCGUCCAGACUUCCCCUACCAGGGAAUAAGUUGUGGAUCAAGGGCAGAUGAGUAGGGGCAUUUGCCUGCUAAAACCUCCAAGCAAGCUCUCAGAACCUGUUUUAAUUUAAUCUGAGGGCAGAUUCCAAGAAAUGUCAAUAGAAAAAAUGGCUUUUUUUUCCUGU